UGCAGUCGAGCGGACAGAAGGGAGCUUGCUCCCGGAUGUUAGCGGCGGACGGGUGAGUAACACGUGGGUAACCUGCCUGUAAGACUGGGAUAACUCCGGGAAACCGGAGCUAAUACCGGAUAGUUCCUUGAACCGCAUGGUUCAAGGAUGAAAGACGGUUUCGGCUGUCACUUACAGAUGGACCCGCGGCGCAUUAGCUAGUUGGUGGGGUAAUGGCUCACCAAGGCGACGAUGCGUAGCCGACCUGAGAGGGUGAUCGGCCACACUGGGACUGAGACACGGCCCAGACUCCUACGGGAGGCAGCAGUAGGGAAUCUUCCGCAAUGGACGAAAGUCUGACGGAGCAACGCCGCGUGAGUGAUGAAGGUUUUCGGAUCGUAAAGCUCUGUUGUUAGGGAAGAACAAGUGCGAGAGUAACUGCUCGCACCUUGACGGUACCUAACCAGAAAGCCACGGCUAACUACGUGCCAGCAGCCGCGGUAAUACGUAGGUGGCAAGCGUUGUCCGGAAUUAUUGGGCGUAAAGGGCUCGCAGGCGGUUUCUUAAGUCUGAUGUGAAAGCCCCCGGCUCAACCGGGGAGGGUCAUUGGAAACUGGGAAACUUGAGUGCAGAAGAGGAGAGUGGAAUUCCACGUGUAGCGGUGAAAUGCGUAGAGAUGUGGAGGAACACCAGUGGCGAAGGCGACUCUCUGGUCUGUAACUGACGCUGAGGAGCGAAAGCGUGGGGAGCGAACAGGAUUAGAUACCCUGGUAGUCCACGCCGUAAACGAUGAGUGCUAAGUGUUAGGGGGUUUCCGCCCCUUAGUGCUGCAGCUAACGCAUUAAGCACUCCGCCUGGGGGAGUACGGUCGCCAAGACUGGAAACUCCAAAGGAAUUUGACGGGGGGCCCGCACAAAGC
rnacentral:rRNA from 1 species